GAUCCAGCUUGCUGGAUGCUGACGAGCGGCGGACGGGUGAGUAAUGCAUAGGAAUCUGCCCGGUAGUGGGGGAUAACCUGGGGAAACCCAGGCUAAUACCGCAUACGUCCUACGGGAGAAAGGGGGCUCCGGCUCCCGCUAUGGGAUGAGCCUAUGUCGGAUUAGCUAGUUGGUGAGGUAACGGCUCACCAAGGCCACGAUCCGUAGCUGGUCUGAGAGGAUGAUCAGCCACAUCGGGACUGAGACACGGCCCGAACUCCUACGGGAGGCAGCAGUGGGGAAUAUUGGACAAUGGGGGCAACCCUGAUCCAGCCAUGCCGCGUGUGUGAAGAAGGCCCUCGGGUUGUAAAGCACUUUCAGCGAGGAAGAACGCCUAGCGGUUAAUACCCGCUAGGAAAGACAUCACUCGCAGAAGAAGCACCGGCUAACUCCGUGCCAGCAGCCGCGGUAAUACGGAGGGUGCAAGCGUUAAUCGGAAUUACUGGGCGUAAAGCGCGCGUAGGUGGCUUGAUAAGCCGGUUGUGAAAGCCCCGGGCUCAACCUGGGAACGGCAUCCGGAACUGUCAAGCUAGAGUGCAGGAGAGGAAGGUAGAAUUCCCGGUGUAGCGGUGAAAUGCGUAGAGAUCGGGAGGAAUACCAGUGGCGAAGGCGGCCUUCUGGACUGACACUGACACUGAGGUGCGAAAGCGUGGGUAGCAAACAGGAUUAGAUACCCUGGUAGUCCACGCCGUAAACGAUGUCGACCAGCCGUUGGGUGCCUA
rnacentral:rRNA from 1 species